AACAUGCUUCGGUCAUUACCAGAACUUCCAUUGUGUCUAAAAUAUCUUCACUUGGAGGAUUGUAACAUGCUUCGGUCAUUACCAGAACUUUCAUUGUGUCUACAAUCACUAAAUGCAAGGAACUGCAAGCGGCUUCAAUCUUUGCCAGAGAUUCCGUCAUGUCUACAAGAACUAGAUGCAUCCGUACUCGAAAAGCUAUCCAAGCCCUCUCCUGACCUUAUUCAAUGGGCACCCGGACGUCUGGAGUCACAACCAAUUUAUUUUGGGUUCUGUAACAUGCUUCGGUCAUUACCAGAACUUCCAUUGUGUCUAAAAUAUCUUCACUUGGAGGAUUGUAACAUGCUUCGGUCAUUACCAGAACUUUCAUUGUGUCUACAAUCACUAAAUGCAAGGAACUGCAAGCGGCUUCAAUCUUUGCCAGAGAUUCCGUCAUGUCUACAAGAACUAGAUGCAUCCGUACUCGAAAAGCUAUCCAAGCCCUCUCCUGACCUUAUUCAAUGGGCACCCGGACGUCUGGAGUCACAACCAAUUUAUUUUGGGUUCACUAACUGCUUGAAACUGAAUGGAAAAGCAAACAACAAGAUUUUGGCAGAUUCACUACUAAGAAUUCGGCAUAUGGCAAUUGCAUCACUGAGACU
rnacentral:lncRNA from 1 species